UCUUAACCUACGUCUCUCUAAAGAAUGUAAAUUUAACAGCUUCAAUCUCGCCUCGUAAGGAAUACUCCCUAUCCCCUGUAUCCUUUUAAUCAUUCUCCUUUGUACUGAUUCUAAUAGACUGAUUCUACUGAUUCUAAUAGAUAAUUGUUCUCCGAAACUGUGCCUCCGUGCUUGCACCUUGCCUAGUCAAACUUUUUAACUCUGUUUAUCAACAUCUUCCUUUCCUUCUUCCUGGAAGUUCAACCUUUUCCUAAAAAGAGGGACCGUUCUAAUCCCGCAAACUACCGUCCUGUUCCUUUAAUUUCAUAGCUCUUUAAAAUCUUUUAAUCUCCUUUUAACAGGAAGACACUAAAACACCUAUCACUUCAGAACUUUCUAUCUGAUCACAAGUAUGGGUUCCGUCAAGGCCGCUCUUUCUUCUGACUUUCCUUACUGAGUCUUGGUCAUCCUCUUUAGAGAUUUUGGUGAUCAUUUGGGAUCAUUUGGCUGUCAUCCUCGAUCAGUGAUACAAGCAUUGUGGGGUGGAGAGUGUAUCAUCACUGUGAUGAUAGUUAACGGAAGAGGUGAUUACCUGUUUUGUUUUUAACGGCACAUCUUUAUUGUAUAGCUAUUUGGAGUCUAUUGUAUUUAAUAUCUGUUCAAUUAUUUAUAAAACUGUUUUUAUACAUGUUUCUGGUGGUAUACUAUUUAAUCCGUAUGUAUAAUGAUGGUUGGUGUGUGGUUUAUCACGCGUGUCGCUGCGCAUUUGUCUUGUUGGUUGGGUUGAGAGGUGGCCACGAGGGGCUGGACUGGCAGGCAAGACGGUUGUUCGAAUGGUUUGACCACUAGGCAGGCGUGACGAGGGAAAGUGUAGAACCUACAGGUGACUGAUGGAGGGUAGUGAACAUGGCCUUUAUCGUUUCUCACUUAACUCUCGGACGUUACAACGUUGAAAUAAAUAACGACACCACGAGUUUAGUGUGAACCAUUUCAACGUUGUUCCAUGAAGGGUAAGACGAGAAGAUUUAGGCGCUGAAAAGGAAAUGGGCAGUGGCCAAGGGCAAGUUCACCAGGAAGGCCAAGCUCUUCAUCACAGCACACGGUGAUCAGGCACAGUACUACAGGGUAUUUAGAAGAACAUAGAAACAUGAGAAAUAAGGGAAGCUGCAUGAAGCGACCAGGUUUAUACGUGGCAGUCCCUGUAUGAAAUAUACCUACCUAUUUCCGUCUAUUAUCCCCAUCCAUAAACUCAUCUAAUCUUUUCGUAAAGCUCCCUAAUGUUCUAGCACUAACAACAUGAUUACUGAGUCCGUUCCACUCAUCCGCCACUCUAUUUGAGAACCAAUUUCUUCCUAUCUCCUUCGUAAACCUAAAUUUUUCGAGCUUGAACCCGUUAUUUCUUGUUCUAUCCUGGUUGCUGAUCCUAAGAAUUUUGCUUACAUCUCCCUUGUUAUAACCCUUAUACCACUUAAAGACUUCCAUCAGGUCCCCUCUUAACCUACGUCUCUGUAAAGAAUGUAGAUUUAACAGCUUCAGUCUCGCCUCGUAAGGAAUACUCAUCAUCCCCUGCAUCCUUUUAGUCAUCCUCCUCUGUACUGAUUCUAAUAGACCUAUAUCUUUCCUGUAAUGUGGGGAUCGGAACUCCACUGUGUAGUCUAGAUGAGGUCUGACCAGCGCCAAGUAUAACUUUAAUAUUACUUCCGGCCUUCUACUUUUAACACCCCUAAAAAUUAAUCCUAGUACCCUAUUUGCCUUGUUUCUGGCCUCUGUGCAUUGUUUUCCUAGACGGAGUUCAGAACUAACUUAUAACUCUUAAAUCUUUCUCGUACACUAUACUUACCAGCAGAGAUUGAGUUGUCAUUUAAGAAUGUUGUAGAUAUCAGUGAUGAACUAAUUGAGUUACUUAGUCAGUGUGGAGAAAAGGAUUUAACAGAGGAGGCUGAUCAGUAUGUUUCAGAGUUGGAAGCAAAGAAAUGUAAUUCAAAAUAAAUUUGGAAAAUGUAAACUCUGCUCCACAGAAUCCCAUUCAGCAAGCCUCAUUACGAACAUUACUUAAGAAACUUAGUGAAAAAACUUGAUCCUCCCAUUUUUCUGUUGAUUUAAGGGAUUUCCCCAACUUUAAAUAUGAUUAUGAGAGACUAGUUGUGCCCACAUAUGGGCAGGAUCCAUACGCUUUAAGACAAUGAUUGGUAGGUGAGGCACUGCAGUCAGUAAGGAGAUUAGGGAAUAUUUGCAAUGAGAUGUUCAGCAGGCUAGAACAAAAGUAUGGUAACUAGAGAAAGAUAGUUAACUUGACUAUCAGUGACGUGCGUGCAUUGAAACCAUUGGCAGAGGGUGAUGAUAAAAAAAAUUAAGUAAAACUUUAAAAGUAGUUAAGAGAUGUUACCUAUACUUGAAGAAAAUUAAAUUAGAAGCCGAGAUGGAUUCCACUAAUGUCUUACAACAUGUAGAAAGACUUUUGUCACUUACAGAAAAAAGAGGAUGGGUGGCAGUAAUGGAUGAAGAAGCUGUCAAAAAUAAGAAUACAUGCAAAUUGAGUUUUUAAAAAAGUUAUUGUAUUACUUAUUGACCCAGAAAAGAAUAAUUGCAUACAUGGGACCUGCAGUUAGAAAUGUCAGUAGUACUAGAUCAAACAGAAACAGUAUAUCAAAUGCAGGAUCUCAGGAAACUGCUAUACAGGCUCUAAUCAAAGACAUGCAUAAUAAGCAGACAAAUAUGAAGAGACAGCUACUUAAUAUUACAAAGCUGAUUUAGCUGGCAAUACCAAACGACCCACAAAUGACACCUCAAGUCAAGCAUCGUACAGGCGUUGGUUUCACGAGACCAACACUCAUGACACACAGGACUGUAAUAAUUUUAAGUCAUUAAAUAAUGAAGAUAAAUUAGAUAUACUAUAAAAAGAAGGGACUGUGUUACUGUUGCAUAAGUGGUCAACAUUUGGCAAGAGAGUGUACAAGAAGAGAGGGUUGUAGUGUAAUGGUAGACAACAAAGACUGUAGCCUGGGGCACCACCCCUUAUUACACUGGGCACGGGUAAAUGGCGUCAUGUAUCACACUAACAAGGUGAUAAAUGACUAUAAGAAGUCUAGAGUAAUGCUAAUGGAUAGUUCUGUGUAUAACAAUGGCAUCCGUAUAACUAACAACCUUGUGGGACAGUGGACCAGACAUUACGGUCAUUACCCACACAAUGGCAAGAAAGUUAGGAUUAACAGGAAGAGACAUUCAGAUGGCUAUAAUCAAAGCAGGGAAUGUGGUGACCUGUGUCAGCAAGGAGUACACCAUUGCUCUAUCGGACCGUCUUGGCAAAAUAUGGCAAGUCAAAGCUUAUGGGUUGGAGGAAAUAACAUCUGAUGGAUGAAAGGUUGAUUCACAGAAACUAAGUAAAUUUUUUCAGGUUCAGCUCCAUUUGUUGGUCAGACCUGUAGGCAAGGUAGAUAUGUUCAUCAGAUCGGAUUGUUGUCAGUUACUCCCAAAAGUAGUGAAAACAAUCGACAAACUUCAGUUAUUGGUAAACCAAUGUGAGUAUCGUGUAAGAGGUUGCAUAGAGUAUUGGGGAACGUCAAAGUUGUAAUAAUGUUUGCAUCACUUUGAAUCAUGUCACUGUUGGUGUUAAAGAUUAUAAUAUUGAUGUUUCUGAGAUACUCAGUUUGAAAUUUUCCUUUGAUAGUGUGCUUGAUAACAAUUUGCAUCCUGGUCAUGAAACAUGCACUUGCAAAGAGGGUAUUGUAGAUGAUCACUCCAUAAAGGAGAAAAGAGAAUUAGAAUUAACAGAACAAAGACUAGUUUAAGGUCAAGAUGACAACUUUUCGGUGUGUGAAGCAUUCCUGGAUUUAAAAAAAAUCCCAUAAAUUUGCCUAAUAACUUUUCUCUUGCUGUCCAUAGAUUGAAAACAUCAGAAAAAAAGGUUAAUCAAGCUUGGCCCUGAGCACUGUAGAUUAUAUAAAGAGCAGAUCAAUGACAUGAUUGACAACGGUAUAGCAAGGAAACUCUCAGGGGAAGAAGUGUCAUCGUACCAGGGUCCGGUCCACUAUUUACACCAUCAUGAAGUUAUUAAGCCAGGUUCGUCAUCUACGCCAGUUAGAACUGUAUUUGAUUCAUCAGCAACCUAUCAAGGGCAUCAACUUAAUUCUUAUUGGGCCAAAGGACCAGACAUAUUAAACUCAUUAUUGGGUGUGUUAUUGAGAAUGAGGCAAGAGAAGAUAGUUGUAAUUGGAGAUAUUUCAAGAAAGUACCAUACCAUCAGGUUAAAUGAAAGGGAUCAGCAUACUCACAGAUCCAUUUGGAGGAAUCUGGAUUUAUCUAAAUCACCAGAACAUUAUGCCUUGACUAGAGUCACAUUUGGGGACUGACCUAUUGGAAUCAUAGCAACCUUGGCACUCAAACCGCAGAAAAAUAUGUGGAUCAGUACUCAGAGGCUGCUCACAUGAUUAUGAAGAACACGUAUGUGGAUGAGAUGAUAGAAUAGAGUGCAUAUUAUCUACAGGAGGGAUUGUGGUAAAAAACUAGGUUGUCUCGGGAAGUGAUGUUGACAACUGUGGAAUUAAGUUGCUAGAGAGUGAGACAGAUCUAGGAAUGUCGUGCUAGGAAUGUCAUGGGACAUUAGGGAUGAUCAAUUCUUUUGCAAAGUCAAGAUAAACCUUUCUCCAAAUUUUAAGAUGUUACACACAGAGCCCAAUGUAUGACUCGGUGAAAUAGAAUAUAAAUUUUCAUCAGUUCUCACAAGGCGCCUUGUACUCAGGCAAAUUGCAUCAAUAUUUGAUCCUUUGGGACUGAUACAACCUUUUACUUUAUCAACUAAAUUGCUCAUGAGAGAAAUGAUCAUAAAGAAUGAAGAAGGAGAAUGCGAGGACUACAGGAUGAAAAAGAACAAUUUUCUUAUUUAUUUAUUUAUUUAUUUUUUAUUAUUAUUAUUUCUUUUUUUUUUUUUUUCAAGGAAUUGUAUAGUUUGGAAGACUUCAGGAUUAGGCGGGCAAUCAAACACUGUGAUGCAGCAGGGGAUCCAACCUUGAUUAUCUUCUCUGAUGUUCUAAGCAUGUUUAUGGAGCUGUUGCAUAUUUUCUUUUUUUUUUUUUUGACACUAUCUGGAAAUUAUGAAACUGCUUUCAUAGCAGCUAAGAGUAAGAUUACCCCAGCUAAACAGGUCACUAUACCUAGGAUUGAACUGUGCACUGCCGUGUUAUCAUCUCGCCUACGGGAGAUAAUACAGCAUGAAUUGUACUGGCAGUUCGAGUCUGUUUAUCACCUGGUGGACUCUGCUAAAGUAAGGGAUCAAAUUCAGAAGGAUUCCUAUAAAUUUAAAUCAUACGUGGGAACAAGAAUCGCUGACAUACUGAGCAAAUCAAAUCCCAGCGAAUGGUGGUGGAUUAGAUCUGAAAUUAAUCCCACUGACAUGUUAACACACCCAGUGACUAUUCAACAAAUGGGUGGUGACUCAGUAUGGCAGAAUGGCCCAGAAUUUUUUAAAUUACCUAUCGAAAAGUGGCCUGUAAAGCAAACCACUGAAACAGAAUUGCCAGACAUGACUGGAAAACAUUAGCAUGCGAGAUUGAAUCGAUACUUCUGCACAAUGACAAAACACCUAACAUGAAUUUUUCAACUUGAAUAGGUUCAGCAGCUAUACAAAAUUGUUCAGGGUCACCAGUAGGAUAAUGGCAGCAAUAAAGGCAAAAUCGUUCCUGGCAAUUACUAAAAGUAUCACUAGUCAAGACAUACAAGAAACCGAAAGGCUUUGGGUUAAGGAGGUACAGAGAUAAUACUCAAGGGACUGGCCGAAGAGGUUUGAAAGACUAGUGCCUGUAAUAGACAAGGAUGGUAUAAUCACGGUAGGGAACAGAAUGAGAUCAUGGCUUAGGAAGAACUGGAAUAAUGAUACAUAUAUGUUCUUGUUCCCCAGGCACAGGUUUACACACUUGUACGUAUCUCAUUUACAUCAAAUUGGUCAUGCAGAACUAGAUAUAACUUUUGCUAAAUUACAGAGGAAAUUUGAGGAAAUAAUUUGAGGAAAGGCUUAAACCAUCGCCACCAUUUUACCACACGGGUUGUGAUAUAUUUGGCCCUUUCAGAAUUCGUGAUGCAGUUAAGUGUACAACCUUUGGCAAGGCUUACGGAAUAAUAUUCAUUUGUUUGUCCACCAGAAGUGUUUACUUAGACUUACUGGAGGGUUAUGACACACAGAGCUUUCUGAUGGUUUUCAGACGAUUUGUGCCUAUAAGGGGCUACCCCUGCAAUAUGUACUCAGAUAGAGGUCCUCAGUUUGUGUCAGCUGAGAAGGAGAUCAAACAAAUGUUUGAAGAAUUGGAUUUAAGCAAUAUCCACAAUUUUGAUAGAAACAAAGGUGUGGAGUGGGUAUUCACGAAAUCAUCAGACGCCCCUUGUUAGAACGACAUAAGUGUAUUAUUAGUUACACAUACUAAUAAUUAUGUAUGUAUUUUGUGCUAUAAGGAAUGUAAACAUAACUGAUAGCACACAUGUCGCUGCUCAUGGAUGACGUGUAAACCAGGUGUUGUGAUGGGGGUAGUGGUGUUCUCGGGUCAGUUGUUGGUUGGUGGGCCUCUUGGACGUUUCUUGACGUCCUGGUAGUGUCAUGAGUUUGGGGGCUGCACAGGUGUAUUCAUCAAGGUAUGUAUAAUGCUAUUAUCAAUGCAAAUUUGUUUAUUAAGUUCAUAUCAGUCUGAGAAUUGUAUACAGCUGGCUUAUUCCCAGUCAUCAUUAUGGUGCACGGUGUUGUCUUCUUGUACAAGUUUGUAUAUGAGGGUAUUGUAUUUCAGUGUUGUUUAAUGGUGCUGACAUGAAGCAAAUAUGAACUGGUUGCAAGGGAGCUGUGCAGUAUUUGUUCUUGGGAUUCUGCUGGGUACCAGUGACGAGGCAUUGUUGUGAGUGGUCAUUGUUAUUGUGUUGAUAUCAGGGAUUAUCAUGUGAUAUGUUUAUGUGUACUACAUGACGGAGGUCUAUUUGGUAUUGUGAUGGCCGUAAUCUUUAAAAUGAAAUGUGACACAUGUGUUGAUUAUGAAAGUACUAGUCUGGUUAUUGUAACUUUGUUGAUUUUUGUUAUACACGUAUGUUUACUAC